UGCCGGUAUGAGUAGCGAAAGAUAGGUGAGAAUCCUAUCCACCGAAUGACUAAGGUUUCCUGGGGAAGGCUCGUCCUCCCAGGGUUAGUCGGGACCUAAGUCGAGGCCGAGAGGCGUAGACGAUGGAUAACAGGUUGAGAUUCCUGUACUAGUUAAGUGCGUUUGAGCAAUGGAGGGACGCAGGAGGCUAAGAUGUGCAUUCUGUUGGAUUAGAAUGUCCAAGCAGUAAGUCUUGUGAAGAGUCAAAUGCUUUUCACUUUAAGGACAAGCUGUGAUGGGGAGCGAAAUUUAGUAGCGAAGCGUCUGAUGUCACACUGCCGAGAAAAGCUUCUAGUGAGUACUUAACUACCCGUACCGCAAACCGACACAGGUAGUCGAGGAGAGAAUCCUAAGGUGAGCGAGUGAACUCUCGUUAAGGAACUCGGCAAAAUGACCCCGUAACUUCGGGAGAAGGGGUGCUGAUCGCAAGAUCAGCCGCAGUGAAUAGGCCCAGGCGACUGUUUAUCAAAAACACAGGUCUCUGCAAAAUCGUAAGAUGACGUAUAGGGGCUGACGCCUGCCCGGUGCUGGAAGGUUAAAAGGAUGGGUUAGCUUCGGCGAAGCUCAGAAUUGAAGCCCCAGUAAACGGCGGCCGUAACUAUAACGGUCCUAAGGUAGCGAAAUUCCUUGUCGGGUAAGUUCCGACCCGCACGAAAGGCGUAACGAUCUGGGCACUGUCUCAACGAGAGACUCGGUGAAAUUAUAUUGUCCGUGAAGAUGCGGACUACCCGCGACAGGACGGAAAGACCCCAUGGAGCUUUACUGUAGCUUGAUAUUGAGUGUUUGUACAGCUUGUACAGGAUAGGUAGGAGCCAUAGAAACCGGAACGCUAGUUUCGGUGGAGGCGUUGGUGGGAUACUACCCUCGCUGUAUGACCACUCUAACCCGCACCACUAAUCGUGGUGGGAGACAGUGUCAGGUGGGCAGUUUGACUGGGGCGGUCGCCUCCUAAAAAGUAACGGAGGCGCCCAAAGGUUCCCUCAGAAUGGUUGGAAAUCAUUCGCAGAGUGUAAAGGCACAAGGGAGCUUGACUGCGAGACAGACAGGUCGAGCAGGGACGAAAGUCGGGCUUAGUGAUCCGGUGGUACCGUAUGGAAGGGCCAUCGCUCAACGGAUAAAAGCUACCCUGGGGAUAACAGGCUUAUCUCCCCCAAGAGUCCACAUCGACGGGGAGGUUUGGCACCUCGAUGUCGGCUCAUCGCAUCCUGGGGCUGUAGUCGGUCCCAAGGGUUGGGCUGUUCGCCCAUUAAAGCGGUACGCGAGCUGGGUUCAGAACGUCGUGAGACAGUUCGGUCCCUAUCCGUCGCGGGCGUAGGAAAUUUGAGAGGACCUGUCCUUAGUACGAGAGGACCGGGAUGGACAUACCUCUGGUGUACCAGUUGUGCCGCCAGGCGCAUCGCUGGGUAGCUACGUAUGGAUGUGAUAAACGCUGAAAGCAUCUAAGUGUGAAACACACCUCGAGAUGAGAUUUCCCAUUCCUUUAUGGAAGUAAGACCCCUGAAAGAUGAUCAGGUAGAUAGGUUAGAAGUGGCAGUGCGGUGACGCAUGAAGCGGACUAAUACUAAUCGGUCGAGGACUUAACCAA
rnacentral:rRNA from 1 species